rnacentral:rRNA from 1 species
UACGGGUGGAGCAAGCGUUGUUCGGAUUUACUGGGCGUAAAGGGCGCGUAGGCGGCCUCUGCAAGUCGACUGUGAAAUCUCCGGGCUUAACCCGGAAAGGUCAGCCGAUACUGCAGGGCUAGAGUGCAGAAGGGGCAACUGGAAUUCUCGGUGUAGCGGUGAAAUGCGUAGAUAUCAGGAGGAACACCUAUUGCGAAGGCAGCUCGCUGGGACGUUACUGACGCUGAGACGCGAAAGCGUGGGGAGCAAACAGG